rnacentral:misc_RNA from 1 species
AAGUCGUAACAAGGUUUCCGUAGGUGAACCUGCGGAAGGAUCAUUAACACGUAUCCAACGUUAAACCCCCCUGUGAACCUUCAGAGAGCUCUUGUCUACCGUACGGAACAGCAAUCCUGGUAAAUCAGUGGCGAAGUUCGUUUUUGAUUCAGGACCUCUGUCCAGGACUUUCAAUUGAGCGCAUAGCAGUGGGUCUGGAUACCUGGCCGGGCGGAUGAAAGUGUCGCUGUACGGUUUCGAGGUUAACAUUACGAUCGCUAGAGGCUCACCACGGGCCGGCGGACACCUCGUCACAUAGCAAGUGCGCCGUGAUGGAGGAAAACGUACAACUGUUAACAAUGGAUAUCUUGGUUCUC